ensembl:lncRNA
GUAAAGUUCUCUUCUUCGUUAAAGAGAAGGUAGAAAGUAGCAACACUGUAUUAACAGCUUUCAAAAUGGCCUGAAGAGAAAAUACACGAGUGUACCAAACAGUGGUGCAACAGAAAAGCCUUGGCGAAUUCAUUCGGAACAAAGCAAACAUGAAACAAAGGGGCUACGUUAAAUGAAUGUUAAUGUAGUACAUUUAUUACAAUAUUUUGAUGAAAGCCAUUAGACAAAAAAUAGUUUCGGAUUGUAGACAGGAAUGCCAUCAGCAUUUUCAUUUUAUCUGUAUGGGUCUAAGUGUGAUGUAGCAGCGCCAGUCACUGACGAGUCACUUAGCCAAGCAUUGGCCUAGGGUGUUAAUUUGUUAACUUUAAUUUGUUAAGAUGACCAAAACAAACAGCAUGUCACAUUAGGUGCAACGUAAACAGCACUUUCCAUGUGCUCAAAGGCAUUUGUGGCCAAAGCAGUGGUUAAGUCUAGCCUACGACGUACCUUUCCAUCUCUUGUACUGAACUGAAAACAAUACAUUUUUCGAAGGGGAGCACCGAUCCUGAAAGGGUAACACAUAUUUCAGGACAGAGGAAGUUGAAGUAAAGAGAAAAAAAAGAGAACGAUGGAUUAUGGAGAAAUAAGUUGCUUGCCCUUCCUCAUGUGUCACCAGUCUGAUUGUCUUCCCUGAUUCCUGAUCGUGUCCACCUGUUCCCACACUUCCCUUGUGUGUACUUAUAGUCUGCGUGUCUCCUUGUUCUGUUUCAGUGUGUCAUGUCCUUUCGCCUUGCACAUCCGCCUCAUGAAGGAAUUAAGUCCAGUUCAUAGUUUUGUUUAUCCCAAGCCAUGUUGUGGACUCCUUAGUUGGCUUUGUGCCGUUUAUCGCUCCACAGUUCCUUGAUUUAGUUAAGAGAUUUUUUUGUGAUUGAUUUUUUUUGUUAUUUCCCCUGUAAGAGAGAUUUUGGUUUUGCAUUUGUUUACUAUUCAGCUUUUUGUUUUGCCAGAGCAUUUCCCUGUUCAUCCCUCUUCGGAGAAUUUUUUUAUUCCCA